rnacentral:rRNA from 1 species
UAAAUACUCCCGAGAGACCGAUAGCGAACCAGUACUGUGAAGGAAAGGUGAAAAGAACCUCGAACAGAGGAGUGAAACAGACCCUGAAACCAUGCGCCUACAAGCGGUCGGAGCAUGUUAAAAUGUGACGGCGUGCCUUUUGCAUAAUGAACCUACGAGUUACUCUCGCUGGCAAGGUUAAGCGAUUCAGUCGCGUAGCCGAAGCGAAAGCAAGUCCGAACAAGGCGUACAGUCAGCGGGAGUAGACGCGAAACCAAGUGAUCUACCCUUGGUCAGGUUGAAGGUUGGGUAACACCAACUGGAGGACCGCACCGAUAAGCGUUGAAAAGCUUACGGAUGAACUGAGGGUAGGAGUGAAAGGCCAAUCAAACUUGGAGAUAGCUCGUACUCCCCGAAAUGCAUUUAGGUGCAGCCUCGAAGCAGAGUGAUAGAGGUAGAGCGACUGAUAAGAUGCGAGGGCUUCACCGCCUAUCAAGUCUUGACAAACUCCGAAUACUAUCACUUGAUCUUUGGGAGUGAGGGCAUGGGUGCUAAGGUCCAUGUCCGAAAGAGGAACAACUCAGACCACCAGCUAAGGUCCCGAAAUAAGGGCUAAGUUGAAUAAACGAAGUAAAACUGCAAAGACAGCUAGGAUGUUGGCUUGGAAGCAGCCAUUCAUUUAAAGAGUGCGUAACAGCUCACUAGUCGAGGAGUUUUGCAUGGAUAAUAAUCGGGCAUAAGCCCUUUACCGAAGCUGUGGAUGUCGUAAGACAUGGUAGGGGAGCAUUCCGGCGGCGACGAAGGCCGUCCUCGAGGACGACUGGAGCUUUCGGAAAAGCAAAUGUAGGUAUAAGUAACGAUAAAGGGGGCGUGAAACCCCCUCGCCAUAAGACUAAGGAUUCCUGAUCAACGCUAAUCGGAUCAGGGUAAGUCGGGCCCUAAGGCGCAGCCGAACGGCGUAGCCGAUGGAAGAAACGGUAAAGAUUCCGUUACUGGAUAUAGGAGCGAUGUGGAGACGGAGAAGUGACACACCCGCCUGCCGACGGAAGCGCAGGUUAAAGGAAGUAGGUAAACGCCGGGUAGGCAAAUCCGCCCAGCGUGCCGAAACUGACAGUAUCGAGAGCCCCCGGGCAAUCGAAUAGCGGUGGUAAUCAGGCUCCCAAGAAAAUCCGCUAAGCAAAUUCUAUAUUCACCCGUACCCCAAACGGACACACGUAGUCGGGUAGAAUAUACCAAGGCGCUCGAAAGACUCACGGUUAAGGAACUAGGCAAAUUGACCCUGUAACCUCGGGAAAAAGGGUCCCCAGUAAGAUGGGGCGCAGAGAAUAGGUCCAGGCAACUGUUUAACAAAAACACAGGGCUGUGCAAAAUUUCAAGAUGAAGUAUACAGCCUGACACCUGCCCGGUGCCGGAAGGUUAAGAGGAGAGCUAAUCGCAAGAGAAGGCUUGAAUUGAAGCCCCGGUAAACGGCGGCCGUAACUAUAACGGUCCUAAGGUAGCGAAAUUCCUUGUCGGGUAAGUUC